rnacentral:rRNA from 1 species
CCUACGGGUGGCUGCAGUGGGGAAUAUUGGACAAUGGGGGAAACCCUGAUCCAGCCAUGCCGCGUGAGUGAUGAAGGCCUUAGGGUUGUAAAGCUCUUUCGCCAGGGAAGAUAAUGACGGUACCUGGAAAAGAAGCCUCGGCUAACUCCGUGCCAGCAGCCGCGGUAAGACGGAGGAGGCUAGCGUUGUUCGGAAUUACUGGGCGUAAAGCGUGCGCAGGUUGUGAGUUCAGUUGGAUGUGAAAGCCCGGGGCUUAACCUCGGAUGUGCAUCCAAUACUGGCUCGCUGGAGGUUGGAAGAGGAGAGUGGAAUUCCCAGUGUAGAGGUGAAAUUCGUAGAUAUUGGGAAGAACACCAGUGGCGAAGGCGGCUCUCUGGUCCAUACCUGACACUCAUGCACGAAAGCGUGGGGAGCAAACAGGAUUAGAUACCCCAGUAGUC